rnacentral:rRNA from 1 species
UACGUAGGGUCCGAGCGUUGUCCGGAAUUAUUGGGCGUAAGGGCUCGUAGGCGGUUUGUCGCGUCGGGAGUGAAAACUCAGGGCUCAACCCUGAGCGUGCUUCCGAUACGGGCAGACUAGAGGUAUGCAGGGGAGAACGGAAUUCCUGGUGUAGCGGUGGAAUGCGCAGAUAUCAGGAGGAACACCGGUGGCGAAGGCGGUUCUCUGGGCAUUACCUGACGCUGAGGAGCGAAAGCAUGGGGAGCGAACAGG